UACAGAGGGUGCGAGCGUUGUUCGGAAUUAUUGGGCGUAAAGGGCGCGUAGGCGGUGCGGUAAGUCACCUGUGAAAUCUCCUGGCUCAACUGGGAGCUUGCAGGCGAAACUGCCGUGCUGGAGUGUGGGAGAGGUGCGUGGAAUUCCUGGUGUAGCGGUGAAAUGCGUAGAUAUCAGGAGGAACACCGGUGGCGAAGGCGGCCAUCUGGCUCGGUACUGACGCUCAGGCGCGAAAGCGUGGGGAGCAAACAGG
rnacentral:rRNA from 1 species